GGAAACAACCCAGACCGCCAGCUAAGGUCCCAAAGUCAUGGUUAAGUGGGAAACGAUGUGGGAAGGCCCAGACAGCCAGGAUGUUGGCUUAGAAGCAGCCAUCAUUUAAAGAAAGCGUAAUAGCUCACUGGUCGAGUCGGCCUGCGCGGAAGAUGUAACGGGGCUAAACCAUGCACCGAAGCUGCGGCAGCGAACGUAUCACCCAAGACAACUUUACGGAGUUGACGA
rnacentral:rRNA from 1 species